ACUUUCAACAUUUAUUGGCAAAAGAUAUUUAUUACACAUGGUGGAAUACAUACAAUUUACAUUUGGCACCAUCUUUGGCGCUGAUAGUUUAAAAUGGCCUUGUCAGUAAUUAAAUGGUGCAGAUUAUACCUGUGAAAAACAUACACAACCCUGCUUUCAUCUACCCAUGUUUGACAUUUAUCUGACUCAGCAGUGCAGACAGUUCAGUUAUUCAUUUUAUUCAAUGCUGUUCAUUACUGAAAGCACUUGGCAGUAACAUCCUUGACAUCAAGAAGAGUAUCUGUAGAUUGUUGUUUGAGAAACACAAUGACUAAUGUAGGUUCAUAUUAAAAGAGAAACAAUGUGAGAAGGGCAAGGUGGAAUGGAACAUGUAAAGAAAGGGAAAGGACAGAGGGACAGACAGAACAAGGUGGGAAUAAGGAAAGAUCUACACAAACAUAAAACAUUUUCUUCUCAUCAUUUAUUUAUAUCAUUUGAUUUGUGAAAACACUGUUAGACAAAACACUGAAUGGUUAAAUGGCUUGCCCAAGCACACAGUAAGUGUCUGAGUUCAGCAUUGUCAGAACUUCUAGUCUUUACGUUCACAUAUCAGUACAGCUAUGAGCCCUUUUGUGGCCCUGUUCCACAUUUUCACAGACUGUAUGUAUUCUUACUUUUGACUCCACAUGUUAGCACAGAGAAAACACAACUUACAGAAGCCACAUAAACCUUUUUCCUCUAAUGAGGGUUCACCAAUAUCUCUUUAUAAAAUCUCUGUAUAACUGGACAUUUAAACUUUUAGAGAAACAUACAUCUCUAUAUAUAUCUAUAUAGGGUGAUUUCUUUUUAUCAUAGGAAAAUAUCUUUAACUUUUCGCUCUUUAGUAACACUGACAUAAAUCUGAUUGUUUCAUGAAAUGAGCUCUAUUCAAAAAAUAAAAUAACUGAUUGUCACAACACAACUGAUAAAAGUGUUUUCUUAUGAGUAGGAGUCAAAGGAAAAUUGUUCUGAUAGGCAAUGAACACGGCUCUGUUUUCAUCAUUACUGAUAAUUACUGAUAUGUAUGUAAUUAAUACGUUUAAAUCAAGUUUAUGCAAAUACUAACCACAUUGCCUCCACAUUUCUGCAUCAGAGUGUGAACAAAGCUUCCUUCAGACCAGAGCAAUAACUAUACUUAAUGUCUUUCUUAUGUGAACUUUAUUUCAUUCACUACAUCAUGUGGCCUGUCUCAGACCAAUACAGCCUUGUCUUGUAAUCUACAUCGACUGCAAAUUUUAUGAUAGGACACCCAUAGCCUCUUUUGGGCUGAGUGGCUGACCUCAGCUUUCGAACUGAGUAUCAAUUUAUGCAUUAGAGUGCGCUGGACCUUUCCAGUCUCUGUAUGUCUUGUGCUCUGCAAAACUAGACAGAAGAAUGCCUUGCUGGAUUGUACAUAGGUUUGCAAAUCUCGUUACUAAUGCUGGAUUGUACAUAGGUUUGCAAAUCUCGUUACUAAUGCUGGACUGUACAUAGGUUUGCAAAUCUCGUUACUAAUGCUGGACUGUACAUAGGUUUGCAAAUCUCGUUACUAAUGCUGGACUGUACAUAGGUUUGCAAAUCUUGUUACUAAUGCUGGACUGUACAUAGGUUUGCAAAUCUCGUUACUAAUGCUGGACUGUACAUAGGUUUGCAAAUCUUGUUACUAAUGCUGGACUGUACAUAGGUUUGCAAAUCUUGUUACUAAU